rnacentral:rRNA from 1 species
ACUGCGGACGGCUCAGGUAUUGUACGCGCGCUACAAUGGUAACAGGUGUGAGACUGCGGACGGCUCAGGUAUUGUACGCGCGCUACAAUGGUAACAGGUGUGAGAAUGAGGACGGCUCAGGUAUUGUACGCGCGCUACAAUGGUAACAGGUGUGAGACUGCGGACGGCUCAGGUAUUGUACGCGCGCUACAAUGGUAACAGGGGUGAGACUGCGGACGGCUCAGUAAAUCAGUUAUAAUCUGCUCGAUUGUCAAGGUUAUUGGAUAACCGUGGGAAAUCUAGAGCUAAUACAUGCAGAUGUGGGGGUCAAACCUCACGGCAUUUAUUAGAACAUUACCAAUGGAACGGGGGUAACAGCUCGUUCCGGUUGAAUCUAGAUAACUAUGCAGACCGUAUGGCCUCGUGCCGGCGGCGUUUCGAUUGAGUUUCUGCCUUAUCAGCCUGGAUCGUAUUUAAGGUAUACGAUAGGCAUUGACGAGUAAGGGAAAUGUGGGUUUGAUUCCUGAGAGGGAGCCUGAGAAACGGCUACCACAUCCAAGGAAGGCAGCAGGCGCGAAAAUUACUCAAUCCAGAAAUUGGGAAGUGGUGACGAAAAGUACCGAAGCUGGCCCUAUGGGUCAGAGUUUGGAAUGGACGAUACGUAAAAUCUAUCGAGAAUUCAACUGGAGGGCAAGCCUGGUGCCAGCAGCCGCGGUAAUUCCAGCUCCAGUAGCGUAUCGCAAAGUUGCUGCGCUUAAAACGUUCGUAGUUGGAUCACAGUCUGUGCGGGUGUGGGCCCGGGUUGCGUGCGAUUUACCGACUGAGCCUGCACACAGUGCGAGUCAGGAGGGAGUGCGUUUACACCCUGGUCGUGAGCGCCCGUGCAGUAAUUGCACGCGAGGAUGGCCUUUGACCUUUAGUGCGUUGAGGGCGGUGUCUCGCGGAGUGUGCCUUGAGUAAAUCAGAGUGCUUAAAGCAGGCGUUACGCUUGUUUUUUGAUAGCAUGGAACGAACAAUAGUGUAUGGUGUGUGUUGGUCUCGGCGCGCUGUUCAUCGCGAGCGGCACGCUGCAACACACGACACCGACCACCAGUUACGGAUGUUGGUUCCGUAUUGGGGUACUGAUUAAGAGGAGCGGUUGGGGGCAUUGGUAUUUGGCAGCGAGAGGUGAAAUUCUUAGACCUGCCAAGGACCGACAAAUGCGAAGGCAUCUGUCCAGACCGUAUCCAUUGAUCAAGAGCGAAAGUGCGGGGAUCGAAGAAGAUCAGAAACCUUCCUAGUCCGCACCCUAAACCAUGCCAACUCGGGAUCAGUUUGGAGCGCGUUUCCAAGCUCGAGAUUGGUCCCCCUGGGAAACCUAAAGUUUUUCGGUUGCGGGGGGAGUAUGGUCGCAAGGCUGAAACUUAAAGGAAUUGACGGAAGGGCACCACCAGGGGUGGAGCCUGCGGCUUAAUUUGACUCAACACGGGAAAACUUACCUGGUCCGGACAUUGAAAGGAAUCACUGGCUGAAGCCCAUUGAUAAUACAAUGGCAAGUGGUGCAUGGCCGUUCUUAGUGCGUAGAGUGAUCCGUUUUCUUAAUUGAUUCAACGCGCGCAAUCUCGAUCUUCAGUUUACGAGUCAGAGAAGGCGUUUGUACGGCGGUUUUUGGCAACAGAGACAGUUGUAUGAGCGUUGUAGGCAAUAUCGAUGGGAGCCUGGGGGUUGUGCCUUGUUUACGCAUGGUGCGGCUUCUGGGUUCCAAUGUCGGUAUUCCCUCUGGCCUGGCAGAGUGUCGCCCGCAAGGGAGGUGCUUUGUAUCCUGGAGAGACGUCGGAAUAUAUCCAAAAUCCGAGAAAGUGAGGCUAUAACAGGUCUGUGAUGCCCUUAGAUGUUCAGGGCUGCACGCGCGCUACAA